AAUAAAAUUGAGAGUGUCCAAAAGAAAGAUGGGAAUGACAAAGUAACAGCGCCAAAGACAGAGGCAGAGCUCCUUAUGGACAAAUUUGAGAGGAUGGCAGAAGAGGAGAGAAUUUGGCCUUGUCAGAAGGAUAGGAGAGAUAAAGACCAGGCCAAAGAGAUAGAGGGAAAAAGAAAGGAUAAGGAGGUGCUGUCUAAAGAAGAGCAGCGCAGGCUGAGGAAUGAGAAGGCCUUACAGGAACACCUGGACAGGGUAAAGAAUCCGGAAUUGACAGGCAAACAGACCAGACAACCACAAUGUAAAGAUUACUCUAUUUUCACUGCAUCAGGGCUAAAGAGCAAGGACCCGCAUGAUCAACAGUCAGCAAAAUGCAAAGAUUUCUCUGUGUUUU